CCAAGUCUGUGAAGUCUAGCUAGUUACCUAACAUUGGCAGCCCUCAUGCCUGACCCCUAUCUGUGUUUCCAAUGAGAGAGAAAGUUUCAUGGAGCAGAACUGUCUUCGUACUUUACCCAGGCCAGCAAGGAUCCGGGUCUUCUUUUAAUUCUCCAAUCUGCAGCAGAGGUAGCGAACUCUCAUUCCAUGAAGCAGCAGUUUCCUCUCUCAACCCGGUCAACCUGGGCCAGCAUCUCAAGUAGGCGCAGCAGCUGAGAGUGAAGAUUUCUCAAGAAUUGAAGAAUGGAGUUCUCUUUGUUCAAGGCCAAGAACAGUCCACAAAAGAGGGAGAUUGGGAGCGUCUGCUUGCAAGGAGAAAGAUCUGCCUGGGAGAGACUAACAAUGGAUUCUGGGAAGGAAGGAUGUUCAGGCCCCUGGAGCUGCGGCCAAUGUGGUCUGUACACGGAGAGUGUCACACAGAAAAUGAAAUACAAUCAAGAGAUCUAUGGAGAGAA